rnacentral:rRNA from 1 species
UUAUUUGAGAGUUUGAUCCUGGCUCAGGAUGAACGCUGGCGGCGUGCCUAACACAUGCAAGUUGAGCGAUUUACUUCGGUAAAGAGCGGCGGACGGGUGAGUAACGCGUGGGUAACCUACCCUGUACACACGGAUAACAUACCGAAAGGUAUGCUAAUACGGGAUAACAUAUUUGAGAGGCAUCUCUUGAAUAUCAAAGGUGAGCCAGUACAGGAUGGACCCGCGUCUGAUUAGCUAGUUGGUAAGGUAACGGCUUACCAAGGCGACGAUCAGUAGCCGACCUGAGAGGGUGAUCGGCCACAUUGGAACUGAGACACGGUCCAAACUCCUACGGGAGGCAGCAGUGGGGAAUAUUGCACAAUGGGCGAAAGCCUGAUGCAGCAACGCCGCGUGAGUGAUGAAGGCUUUCGGGUCGUAAAACUCUGUCCUCAAGGAAGAUAAUGACGGUACUUGAGGAGGAAGCCCCGGC